rnacentral:misc_RNA from 1 species
GCCCAUACAGUUCUGAAUUUUAGGUAUUAUCUUUGAAUUUUCUUCAUUGUUCAUCAUUACAUGAUAUCAUGCAUUAAAUUUUGAGACAUAAAAUGCGUCUGUCUCUAUCUCACACUAUCCCCUUUGUUCCACUUUCUCCCACUAUCUUUUGUUUUUCUUUGAAAAUAUACAUUACUGAUGUGUUAGGGUUUUUGGGUUUCUCCCGGCUUAGAACCUAGUGUUGGCACUGGAAAUUGCUUGCAUAACUUGUUUUAUUGAGAUUUACUUUAUUGGACCCAACAGAUCAUUGUUUUUCUUCAGGAACCAGAUACAGAGUAUUUGCUUAAUCUGUGCGAAUAUGAUAGGAAUCUUCAUUUCUUUGCACUUUUUGUAUCCUGGAAAAAUUUUUUGAAUGGUGACAGAAGGAUAUUAAUUCUGCACAGAAUUGAAGCAAACCCAUUUGGAUAAUUACAUUUUGACGCAGGCAAAUUUUGGUCUUUUGUGUGGUUGAAGUAUGAAAAUUU